rnacentral:lncRNA from 1 species
GAUUGAGCCCCUGAGUGGCCCAUUGGACGGUGGGACCCUGCUGACCAUCCGAGGAAGGAACCUGGGCCGGCGGCUCAGUGACGUGGCCCACGGCGUGUGGAUUGGUGGUGUGGCCUGUGAGCCACUGCCUGACAGAUACACGGUGUCGGAGGAGAUCGUGUGUGUCACAGGGCCAGCCCCAGGACCGCUCUCAGGUGUGGUGACCGUGAACGCCUCUAAGGAGGGCAAGUCCCGGGACCGCUUCUCCUACGUGGU